rnacentral:rRNA from 1 species
UACGAAGGGGGCUAGCGUUGCUCGGAAUCACUGGGCGUAAAGCGCACGCAGGCGGAUUGAUAAGUCAGGGGUGAAAUCCCGGAGCUCAACUUCGGAAUUGCCUUUGAUACUGUCUGUCUUGAGUCCGGGAGAGGUGAGUGGAAUUCCUAGUGGUAGAGGUGAAAUUCGUAGAUAUUAGGAAGAACACCAGUGGCGAAGGCGGACUCGACUGGC